AAAGGUUUGUUUGCCCCAAGACGUCGAGGAGGGUAUACGAGUGAUGUUCUGUUGCUUCCCAGAUUAAAAGAGUUUUUACAUGGCUUUCCGUGGGAAAGAAAGCCGUCAGUCGACGAUGCUGUCGAGUACUUACAAAAAACGUACAGAGAUUAUUCAAGGAAAAAGAAAG